rnacentral:rRNA from 1 species
CCGCCUGGGGAGUACGGGUGAGGUAACGGCUCACCAAGGCAUCGGCGGGUAGCUGGUCUGAGAGGACGAUCAGCCACACUGGGACUGAGACACGGCCCAGACUCCUACGGGAGGCAGCAGUAGGGAAUCUUGCGCAAUGGGCGAAAGCCUGACGCAGCAACGCCGCGUGGGGGAUGAAUGCCUUCGGGUUGUAAACCCCUUUCAGCAGGGACGAAAAUGACGGUACCUGCAGAAGAAGCUCCGGCCAACUACGUGCCAGCAGCCGCGGUAAUACGUAGGGAGCGAGCGUUGUCCGGAAUUAUUGGGCGUAAAGAGCUCGUAGGCGGUUCAGUAAGUCGGGUGUGAAAACUCAAGGCUCAACCUUGAGACGCCACUCGAUACUGCUGUGACUUGAGUCCGGUAGAGGAGUGUGGAAUUCCUGGUGUAGCGGUGAAAUGCGCAGAUAUCAGGAGGAACACCAGCGGCGAAGGCGGCACUCUGGGCCGGUACUGACGCUGAGGAGCGAAAGCAUGGGGAGCAAACAGGAUUAGAUACCCUGGUAGUCCAUGCCGUAAACGUUGGGCACUAGGUAUGGGAUCAUAUCAACGGAUUCCGUGCCGUAGCUAACGCAUUAAGUGCCCCGCCUGGGGAGUACGG